rfam:Dictyocaulus viviparus strain HannoverDv2000 D_viviparus-1.0_Cont19.3, whole genome shotgun sequence.
GCCUCGGUGGUGUAGUGGAAAGCACGGCAGACCGGAUAUCUAUAAGUGCGGGUACGAGUCCCGCCUGAUGUC